GUUGUCUUGAUUUAUAGCUGACGAACAUACAUUUUCAGAAAUACUAGAGCAAAGAUGGUCCAUUUAGAGAUGCACUGGAAGAUUGUGCAAUAUCUUGAGAAAGUAAUCUUCAGAAGGUAUACUUGACUGGAUUCCGCACAAGGGAAUUCUCAUCUGGAGCAACAUCUGCUGAUUCUGAUAAAAAGCUGGUCUCGCAAACAUAAGCUGGGAUCCAGACUUUUUAGCCCUGUCAUCACACGUCUACAGCUCCAACGGAAAAUCCACCUCAAAUGUCCUAUUGAGAUAACGCACCAGAUCCCAUUAAUAUAUCAAUGUUUAGACAAAAACAAGCAAUGCCAUAUUAUGAAACUGACCAGUACAAUCACCAAAAAACAGCAGGAUAAUGAAAUGUUAGAAUAUACAACAUCAGCAAUCUUUCAGCUUCUUCUAGUUUACAGCAGAUUCUAGAGACUUCCACCUCAACAGUUCAGAUUCCAUCGAGAUUUUAUCUCCAGUUGUUAUGUUAGAUAGUAGUUUAGUUAGUUAGUUAGUUGUUAGAUGCUAGUUAUUUUAGUUAGCCACUCACACUUGUGUCUAUAAAUAUAAAACUUUGUAUACCUUUUAGUUCAUUGGAUAUUUUCCAGUCUUCAAUGUGAUUUCAUAUUGAAUUUAUCCUUUCUUCUUUUCACUCUCUAUGCUAGGGAGAUGAUUUCAAUCUUUUCUUCUUUUUACUGCUCUCUAGUUCUAUGCUGGGAGAAUUUAACAGAAACGCAUAGGAAGGACAGGUACAGGUAUUGUUGGCAAAAUUUAAUCCAAAAGUUUCGACAAUGGAAGCUGCAAAAAUGACCUAUUGCCGCACCAAUAUUCAGCCCAUGUGUUCCUGCUUAAAGGCCGAAAGGAUGUGGUUGUGGAUAAUAUUCACACAAAAUAUCCUGCACUUCGCACAUAAGCUUAUUGUUUGUUCAGAUUCAGACACCACGCAUAAGUAAAAAGUUUCUGGGAAAAGGGCACUUUAUUCUACAAAUCCUCCUUAAAAAUCUUUAAAACACUACAAAUUCAGUUGCGUCGGAGAUAUAGUCCGCCGGAGGUGUUGCCGCAGGAGAGGUCGGUUGAGGCCACAUGAGAAGUGAGGAGUAGGGAUUUGGUCGUCUCAAUUCA
rnacentral:lncRNA from 1 species